rnacentral:rRNA from 1 species
UACGGAAGGCAGCAGUGGGGAAUAUUGCACAAUGGGCGCAAGCCUGAUGCAGCCAUGCCGCGUGUAUGAAGAAGGCCUUCGGGUUGUAAAGUACUUUCAGUCGUGAGGAAGGUGUUAAGGUUAAUAACCUUAGCAAUUGACGUUAGCGACAGAAGAAGCACCGGCUAACUCCGUGCCAGCAGCCGCGGUAAUACGGAGGGUGCGAGCGUUAAUCGGAAUUACUGGGCUAAAGGGCACGCAGGCGGUUAAUUAAGUUGGAUGUGAAAUCCCCGGGCUUAACCUGGGAAUGGCAUUCAAGACUGGUUAGCUAGAGUCUUGUAGAGGGGGUAGAAUUCCAUGUGUAGCGGUGAAAUGCGUAGAGAUGUGGAGGAAUACCGGUGGCGAAGGCGGCCCCUGGGACAAAGGCUGACGCUCAUGUGCGAAAGCGUGGGGAGCAAACAGGGAUUAGAUACC